GACCAUCUCCUAACUAUAAAUUUGUUCCAGUUAAUAAUUGUCCAUCAGCCCCUCCAUUUAACCGUGAGAUUAAUAGCGACAUUCAAGCUGCACUAAUUAAAGCUUGGCCCAGUAUUAUGGGUAAACCAAACCUAAAAUUUUGGGAACAUGAAUGGGGAAAACACGGUUCAUGUACCACAGAUUUAUUACCAACUUCUAAUGACUACCUACUGAAAGGAGUUUACCUGUGGGAGCAAAUCAAGUUUCAUGAUUUGAUGGGUGUGGGUCCGGGUGCCCAAUUUAUGCCAAAUACUCAAUAUGAUGCGAACACGGUGAUGGCGGCCAUCACAAGCAAAUACAAGGUCAAAACAAUGCUGACCUGUCAGGGUGGGGAAAUAUUGGAUGUUAGGUUUUGUUAUUUAGGACCUUGGGUACUGGUAGAUUGCCUGGACACCCAACCACCUCCCGGUACAGUUUGUACAGGUUUAAUUUAUUAUCCUAGAAUAUAGUAGAAGCUUGGUAGGAUUAUAUCGUUAGGGAAGUGCUGCCACCUCAAGACCUGUUUGUGUUUCUUUUGGUUUAGAAGAAAAACCAAAGUAUCUGUGCAAUUCUGAUUUAAAAUUUGAAAUAGAAAAUAGAAAUUUUUUUUUUCUUUCAUGUCCGGUUUGGUUUUUAUGAGAAAAAACGCACAUAAAUGAUGAAGAGCCUCACGUUCAACUCACCAACCGUCUAUCACUAUACCCCAGAUUUGAACUCCAACCUGGUAUUCUGCAAAAUAUAUGAGUCAGAUCUGGAGCUUCCUUAGGCCACGACUAGAAGCCUCAUUGAUUAGGCCACGAGCUUCCUUGCUUGUAGAGCCAAAAAAGAACCAAACUUGGGGUUUAUUUGAUUUGUUACUAUUAAAUUAUUGAUGCGUAACCCAACAAGAACCCUCGCAAAUUGGACUUUUCAGAGGGAAGGAAAGAGACCAAAGAGCAGAGAGAGAGAGAGAGAGAGAGAGAGGCGGUUUUGAACCAGACUCUGUGGUUUUCAGAAUGAUGAUACGUGCACUCUGUGCUGCUGGAAAAGCUGAUGUGCCAAUGGAAUUUGACAAGGAAAUGGUACAGAAGGACAUCGGACACCGACAGAAGCCUGAGGUUUUGUAUCUGGAAGCCUCUAUCUAACUUCAGUUAAUUUGAUUAUGAUGCAGCCCAAUUCAAGUUUUGUUUUUGUUUUGCAGUUUUCUAAGGUUGAAUUGCUCCCAAAAGGCUUGGAGAUCCGGUUUCUUUCACAGAAGGGCAAUUGAUUCCCUUCUUCAAAACAACUGAAAUCUAAGGAAAUGCUUGAAUAUUUUUACAUAGCUGUUUAUUCUCACUGAAUUCAGAAGAAGAGGCAGAGAAUAGAAAGAAGCACAAUCUGAUACAGUGCUUGACAGUCAAUCUAUAAGUGGCAGAGGGGCUCAAAUGCCUGUAAUGUAGCAGGGAAAUCUCCCCAUAGUGGCCUUAAUCUGGACGAUAUUCUUCAGUUUAAUAAUUCAUCAAACAUAUCUGUCUUGGGCUGAUUUCGAUAAGAUUGGACAAGGUGGUUUUGGGGUUGUUUUCUAUGCCAAGCUGACAAGCGAGGAUGAUACUAAAAUUGUGACAGCUUCUGGUGAUCAAACUGUUAAGGUAUGGGAUAUCAGGAAAAGAAAUGUACUGCAGUUCUAAUGGGCAAUAUAGUUAUACUAUUUGUUAGUAGGUGGAGUUCUGUUUUGAGCAUAAUGGUGUUGUUCCUGUUUGUUUAAGCAGAUUCUGUAUGCAAGCAAGUCUGCCAUUACCCUGAUCCUGUAACAAGGAAAACAAAAUCUAUUGACCUAUUGAAAGAUGGAAAAGAUCAUUUGGUUAAAGCUUUCAUUUCAAAACCACUUUAUUUUGAAUCUCUAAUAUAGUUUGGUUCACUAUUUACCUUAGUGAAAGUGCAUGGGUCAGUAUUCUAUGAGGAAUAAAGCUUUAUUGAUUAGCUAUUUCUUAUUCCACUUUAUGCUAUUCUGAUUUGCGCAAAUAUCUAGGGUUGCAAGUUUGAAUGAAUUCUGUAGUUACUAUACUAGAGAAGCAUAGAGCUUGAAGAAUGGUUUGGGUUGCUUUACUUGGGACUUUUAGACGUUUUUGUCAUGCCAAUUGAAGCUUCUUACUACAUUUCUAAAAAAGAUGAAGAUCCUCUGACCCUUUGUAUUGUGUAUAACAGUCCCUUUGUAUUGUGUAUAACAGUUUUUCAAAAUAAGUUCAAUAUAAAUUUCAUUUGCUUCUCUUUCUAAA